AUUGAACGCUGGCGGCAUGCUUUACACAUGCAAGUCGAACGGUAACGGGCCGCAAGGUGCUGACGAGUGGCGAACGGGUGAGUAAUGCAUCGGAACGUGCCCAGUCGUGGGGGAUAACUACUCGAAAGAGUAGCUAAUACCGCAUACGAUCUAUGGAUGAAAGCGGGGGACCGUAAGGCCUCGCGCGAUUGGAGCGGCCGAUGUCAGAUUAGGUAGUUGGUGGGGUAAAGGCUCACCAAGCCAACGAUCUGUAGCUGGUCUGAGAGGACGACCAGCCACACUGGGCCUGAGCCACGGCCCAGACUCCUCCGGGGGGCAGCAGUGGGGAAUUUUGGCCAAUGGGCGCAAGCCUGAUCCAGCAAUGCCGCGUGCAGGAAGAAGGCCUUCGGGUUGUAAACUGCUUUUGUACGGAACGAAACGGCUCUGGUUAAUACCCGGGGCUAAUGACGGUACCGUAAGAAUAAGCACCGGCUAACUACGU
rnacentral:rRNA from 1 species